rnacentral:rRNA from 1 species
GUGAGGAAUCUUGCACAAUGGGGGCAACCCUGAUGCAGCGACGCCGCGUGCGGGAGGAAGGCCUUCGGGUCGUAAACCGCUUUUCUGGGGGACGAGUAAGGACGGUACCCCAGGAAUAAGUCCCGGCUAACUACGUGCCAGCAGCCGCGGUAAGACGUAGGGGGCGAGCGUUAUCCGGAAUCACUGGGCGUAAAGGGCGUCUAGGCGGCCUGCUAAGUCCCGCGUGAAAGCUCCUGGCUCAACUAGGAGAGGUCGCGGGAAACUGGCAGGCUAGAGACUCGGAGAGGGGUGUGGAAUUCCCGGUGGAGUGGUGAAAUGCGUUGAGAUCGGGAGGAACACCAGAGGCGAAGGCGGCACCCUGGCCGAGGUCUGACGCUGAAGCGCGAGAGCGUGGGGAGCGAACGGGAUUAGAAACCCUAGUAGUCC